AUGCAUAAUUUAUUAUGCGUGGUAGGGGAGCGUUCUGUAAGCCGAUGAAGGUGGAUUGAGAAGUCUGCUGGAGGUAUCAGAAGUGCGAAUGCUGACGUGAGUAACGACAAUGCGAGUGAAAAACUCGCACGCUGAAAGACCAAGGGUUCCAGUCCAACGUUAAUCGGGGCUGGGUGAGUCGACCCCUAAGGCGAGGCCGAGAGGCGUAGUCGAUGGGAAAUUGGUUAAUAUUCCAAUACUUCUGUGUAAUGCGAUGAGAGGACGGAGAAGGUUAAGUCAGCCUGGCGUUGGUUGUCCAGGUGGAAGGUUGUAGGCAUGUAUCUUAGGCAAAUCCGGGGUACUCUAUGCUGAGAACUGAUAGCAAGCUGUACUUGUACAGUGAAGUGGCUGAUACCAUGCUUCCAGGAAAAGUCUCUAAGCUUCAGUUACACAGGAAUCGUACCCGAAACCGACACAGGUGGUCAGGUCGAGUAGACCAAAGCGCUUGAGAGAACUCUGCUGAAGGAACUAGGCAAAAUGGUACCGUAACUUCGGGAGAAGGUACGCUGUUGUCUGUGAUAGGACUUGCUCCUUGAGCGGCCGACAGCCUCAGAAACCAGGCCCCUGCAACUGUUUAUUAAAAACAUAGCACUCUGCAAACACGAAAGUGGACGUAUAGGGUGUGAUGCCUGCCCGGUGCUGGAAGGUUAAUUGAUGGGGUUAGCGUAAGCGAAGCUCUUGAUCGAAGCCCCAGUAAACGGCGGCCGUAACUAUAACGGUCCUAAGGUAGCGAAAUUCCUUGUCGGGUAAGUUCCGACCUGCACGAAUGGCAUAAUGAUGGGGGCGCUGUCUCCAGCAGAGACUCAGUGAAAUCGAAUUCGCCGUGAAGAUGCGGUGUACCCGCGGCUAGACGGAAAGACCCCGUGAACCUUUACUGCAGCUUGACAUUGAACUUUGAUCUUACUUGUGUAGGAUAGGUGGGAGGCUUUGAAGUCGCGACGCUAGUUGCGAUGGAGCCGUCCUUGAAAUACCACCCUGGUAAUAUUGAGGUUCUAACUCUGUCCCGUUAUCCGGGACGAGGACCAUGUCUGGUGGGUAGUUUGACUGGGGCGGUCUCCUCCUAAAGAGUAACGGAGGAGUACGAAGGUGCGCUCAGCGUGGUCGGAAAUCACGCGUAGAGUAUAAAGGCAAAAGCGCGCUUAACUGCGAGACCCACAAGUCGAGCAGGUACGAAAGUAGGUCUUAGUGAUCCGGUGGUUCUGUAUGGAAGGGCCAUCGCUCAACGGAUAAAAGGUACUCUGGGGAUAACAGGCUGAUACCGCCCAAGAGUUCAUAUCGACGGCGGUGUUUGGCACCUCGAUGUCGGCUC
rnacentral:rRNA from 1 species